GUCGUUUCACAAAUUGGGUUUUAGUGAAUGCGAGAUCUUGGCUUCUCUUGAUGAGGAUAAUGUAAUAGGAACUGGAUCUUCAGGGAAAGUGUACAGGGUUAUGCUUAGCGGUGGUGAAGCAGUUGCGGUCAAGAAGCUCUGGGGAGGUGCCAAAAAGGAGAGUGAUGAAAGCGACGUUGAGAAGGGUCAGUUCCAGGACGAUGGGUUUGAAGCAGAGGUUGAGACUUUGGGUAAGAUUAGGCACAAGAACAUUGUUAAGCUAUGGUGUUGCUGCACCGCUAGAGACUGCAAACUUUUGGUAUACGAGUACAUGCCUAAUGGUAGCUUGGGUGAUUUGUUACAUAGUAGCAAGGGAGCGUUGCUAGAUUGGCCAACAAGGUAUAAGAUCCUUUUAGAUGCAGCUGAGGGGCUUUCCUAUUUGCAUCACGAUUGUGUACCUCCAAUUGUGCAUAGAGAUGUUAAGUCCAACAAUAUUUUGUUGGAUGGGGAUUUCGGA
rnacentral:misc_RNA from 1 species